rnacentral:lncRNA from 10 species
AUCCCCGCAGGGAGAAGAUGGUGCUGGUUGGGAAGUCCCUGAGAGCGAGUCUCCCUGUCUGGCCCCAGUACAGGGGCCUUGGAAUCACACCUGGGCUCAGAGUCACUUGGAACUCUUCUGUGGCAUCUGAAGCAGAUGGACGAAGCCAAGAGGGCCGAGAGUAUCUCAGCACCUAGAAAUGGACAAGGCUGGUUAUUAGAACAAAGAUUUCGCAGGUGGUGAGUCUCAAAGGCGAAGCUGAAUGAACUGGUUUCAAAAUAAAAGCCAGACCACCACUUAGAGAGAGACACAGAAUGUUCACUGCCAGGGAACUGCAUGAUUCCUCUGCCAAAGGCCACCCAUUUACAAGAAUCCAGGAAAACCAGGUGGAAUCUCCCAAUGAUGACCCUGAGCAGAACUUCUUGUACCCAGGAAGUUCUACUGGGUGGAGCUGGCCACUCUUCCGUGGAGACACAGGGGACUCCCAAUUAACAUGAUGGCUCAAAUAACUGUAGCCUUAUGGAUUAAAAGGAAACUAAGCUGUGAUUUGGAGUAUCCAGGUGAUACAGAAAAUGGCCCUUGUCGAUGUAGAUCAGCAUUAUUUCCUUAUCCUUCUGCAUCUCCUCCUCAGUAUUCUGAAAGGGACAAGCCUGAGAUGGGGGAAAGCCAGCAUGCAAGGCCCUCCCCUUUGUGCUGUGUUCAUGGUGUGCACGGAGAGAGGCAGCAGCAGGAGGAACAGAAAGGUUAUUUUCUUUACUGACUCUUUCAAGGACAUCAGCAGAAUGGUUGGGAAUGUCAUCAUGAGCAGCCUCAGCCUCAGAAUUACCAGGAGAAGCUGGUCUUCCAGGAUCAGGUUCUAAUGUAUAUGAGUCACAGGAUUUAGGGAAGCAGGCACUUUCCCUUCAGUCCCAGCAGCAUGGUUGAUGUUCCCAAGUAAUGGAGAGUCCCUGUGCUCUCAGUUGUGGCACACACCUUUGCAAAUAGUGAUCAGAUCUCCACAAACGCCUCUUGGGUAAGAUAUGCAGCAACAUAGCUGGCUGCAGAGCAACCCAGUUCCCAAAUCCAGCAGCUCUUGGAUGAGAAGUCUGCAAGUGUUUACUGCUGGGACCAGGACUGUGUUUCUAGGAAAUGGUGCUAGGCUUCAGAGAGCAUCAUCCACAGGUCAUCCCACAACCAUCCACACAGAAGCCUGAGGAAAAGGGCUCUGCAGAGCUUGCACAUAAAGAUGCUGAACUCAGGAAGGCUCUGUGAGCUGCUGGUCUCUUCUGGUAGGGCAGCAGUGUCCUGAGAAGGUGGAGCUAGAGUAUGGAGAACAAAACUAACAAGCACCAAGGCAGCAAGCAAGGCAACCCCCAAAUGACAGCAGUUGCCAAAUCCAAAGCAAUCUGUGCUUCAGAAGACAGAGGCUCUGCACAGUCCCUGUCUCAGACAUUGUCUCCUCCUUAGAAGAUACCUAACAACAGCACUGUGGGAGGCUGAGGUGGGUGGAUCACCAGGUCAGGAGAUCAAGACCAUCCUUGAUCUUUAGUAGAGACGGUGAAACACUGUCUCUACUAAAAAAUACAAAAAAAAAUUAGCUAGCCGUGGCGGCGGGCACCUGUAGUCUCAACUAUUUGGGAGGCUGAGGCAGGAGAAUGGCCUGAACCCGGGAGGCAGAGCUUGCAGUGAGCUGAGAUUGCGCCACUGCACUCCAGCCUGGGCAACAGAGUGAGACUCCAUCUCAAAAAAAAAAAAAAAAAAAAAAAAAAAAGAUACCUAACAAGCAGUACAAGAAUAUGAAGGACCCCACUGCCCAGACUUUGUAUGGAGGGGUGUCUAAGGUGGCUACAGCAAAGCUGUCAUCUCCAUCGACCGGGACAGCAUCUCCAGCCAUGAUGUGUGGCCUGCUGGAACAGCAGCCAUGUGUCCUUUCACAGACAGCCCACCAAAGCUCUGACUGUGAAGGACAUCCCAACAUCAGCCUAGCCUGCAUACACUUAAGGCAUAGAAUCACCUGAGGCUUCUCCGUUGAAGACAGGGACUCCCGAUGGAGUUGCAGCCCCAGCUUUGCACUGUAAAGAGCCCCAGGGGGCUUCUGUGCUAGAGCAGGUGUGCAGACCCCUCCUCACCCCCUUCACUGAGAGCUGCUGCCUGGAACCAGUGUUUUGACUGAGUCACCUCUGGACGUGGGCCCACAAGAUCUGAGAGUGCCCAGACGAGAAGUUGAAUGCCUUGUGUUGACCUGAGUGUUUGGAAAAAAGCCCCAAACUUUGAAACAAUUUUCAUAAUUUUGAGCUUCAGGAUGUGGAAUCACUUCUCAAGUAUUCUGGAGUUCUGUCCAUCAGAGCGGGUCCUGCCAAUGCUGCCCUGUGCAGCGCUUCAGGCUGCAUCCCUCCCACUAGGGGGCGCCUUUCACAUAGUGGCGCCUGCCUUCUAGAGGAGCAACAUUUCCUGAACUGCAGGGUUCCCUCGGGGCUUUGUGUAAAACACAUCCACUGCAUAGAAUUUGUGUUAUUUCCAUUUUGUUUUCUUGACAAUAUUUAAUUAAUUACAAAAUGAUGUAUGUUAUGAUAGUUUAAGCAAUACAGAGAGUAACCAAACAAAAGCUUGGUCUUUUAUUCUCGCACUCUGAAUUUACAGUCCUGAAAACUCUAAACUCAUCAUAUAAUCUAUAUUGUAAAGACUUUGAUAAUCCCUUCCCUUGCCUUUCCUUUCCCCAUUCCCCCUUCCCCUUCCUUCUUCUACAUUGUAUGAUGUUUUUCAUAUUUACAUUCUAACCAAUUGUGUCAUGUGAUACUAAUUUGCAGAAUAAAGCAUGUUUUGCACAUAUUUCCAAGUCAUAUAACAUGCAGACAUACUUCAUUUUGUAAAUAUCUUCCUUCUCUUACUAUAAGAUUGAGAAUAGGUAAAGAGCAACUCUCCAAUGCAGGUGAUGAGUGUGAUUUGCACUAUCACUUUGGACAGCCAAUUGGAAUAUUUAUUGAAGUCAUAGAUGCCCAGCAAUUCUGUUACUGGAUGUGUCUCAUAGACAAACUCUUGGACAUUCUUAUAGAACACUGAGCCCAAAGAAGACACAUCAUAUAAUGUAAGAAGCUAGGACAGCUUAAAAAAAAAAGGCCUAGAUCUGUGUAAUUGUGUGAGUGUUCUCGGACAUACUGUUUGUAAAAAAUCGAGUUAUUGAGUAGUUUGAUAAUAUGAUAAUCAUGAAAAUAAAGGAUAAAGCA